rnacentral:rRNA from 1 species
UCGGAAGCUAAGCAGGGUCGGGCCUGGUUAGUACUUGGAUGGGAGACCGUCUGGGAAUACCAGGUGCUGUAAGCUU